CCUACGGGUGGCAGCAGUGAGGAAUAUUGGUCAAUGGGCGGAAGCCUGAACCAGCCAAGUAGCGUGCAGGAUGACGGCCCUACGGGUUGUAAACUGCUUUUAUACGGGAAUAACGCGCCUUACGUGUAGGGCUUUGCAUGUACCGUAUGAAUAAGGACCGGCUAAUUCCGUGCCAGCAGCCGCGGUAAUACGGAAGGUCCGGGCGUUAUCCGGAUUUAUUGGGUUUAAAGGGAGCGUAGGCCGCACGUCAAGCGUGCUGUGAAAUGUCCGGGCUCAACCCGGGCCUUGCAGCGCGAACUGGCGUGCUUGAGUCCGCGGAAAGCAGGCGGAAUUCGUUGUGUAGCGGUGAAAUGCUUAGAUAUGACGAAGAACCCCGAUUGCGAAGGCAGCCUGCUGCAGCGGAACUGACGCUGAUGCUCGAAAGCGCGGGUAUCGAACAGGAUUAGAUACCCCAGUAGUC
rnacentral:rRNA from 1 species